CUCAGGAGACUGAGGCAGAAGGAUCAUUGGGAGUUCGAGGCCAGCCCGGGAUACAUAGUGAGUUCCCAAGCAGAAGCUGUGGUGAAGCCCAAGUCUGACUCUGUCUGAGUCCUUCUCUGGCUUCCUCUUUGAGCUGUGACGCCCCGCUCCACCGCCACCACGUGCCUCGAUGUGACGCCGCCAGAGGACCCUCACCAGCGCUGAGCCUGCCCGCCGUGCGCUCACCAGCCCGCUUUUUCCUCGAGAGCUGCGGUAACACGCGGCUGACAGGAACGUACCGCCCAGACCGCACAGCACCAAGCGCAGAGGCAGAGAAAACCUCCAGGCCCCGACUCCUCCCCAGCUGGGCCAGCGCCAGCCCCGGGCGGUCACAGGGCCCCUCAGCGGGGACUCUGUGGAGAGGCUGCUGCGAUCGCCCUGCUGGGCCAGCUCCACGGAGGAGCUGAUCUCUUGGGACACAGAGGUAAUGGAGCCAGGCGGGUGACACCGCCGAGGACCUGGCCCUGUCACAUGGUGCCUUCUGCAGCUCCUCAGCAUAAGCACAGAUCGGGAAGCUUCCCAGGUGCUUGCUCUGUGGCCCAAGUUGAGCUUGAACUUGUUUGUGAUCCUCCUGCCUCAGCCUCCCCGAGCACUGGGAUUCCAGGUCUCUACCCAGUGCCUCACAGAAAAGUUCCCCGGCCCCGUCCAAACAGCCCUACUCCCCAGGCACCAUCCCUUACUGGUGACCACUAUGGCCAAUGGUGUUUUCUCCCAGUUACUUUCUCUUCACCCCCUUUCUGGGGCUGGCAGGAAGACAAGAGACUUGAGUAAUCCAGACCAGUGCUGAAUCCUAGUGCACGAGGCAGAGUGUGUUAUAGAGCGACUGCUCGAUGGACGCUUGGGGAAGGGAAGAAGGAAAGGACAAAGGGAAGGAGGAUGGAAAAUGCCUGCAUGGGCUUCUUUCGCAUGUUUCCGAUUUAACCCUUGCUAAAGCUCUACCCGAAGAUGCAGGGCCAGCUACAGCAUUGGUGGGGCCCCAAAAAAGGGAGGCAGCCCUUGCUCGACAGUGACUGAGAAUUUCAAGCUGGCAGCAGCGCAGAAGCUGGCCGUGGGGAGGUGCCACCAUCGACUCCCUGUGCUGUGGAGCGGAGGGAGGAUCAGAGAGGGCCGUGGCUGGCACACAGCAUGGUCGCAGGCACCACCUUGGGACAUGGGCCUCCCCAACCCCACCCCAUGGCGGACACGUGUGACUCCACAUCUCUGGAAGCCUGGGGUCCAGCCCGGAGAAGACCGUGGGAAACAACGCUCUCCACCAUGGUGAGCACAUUCCCACCCUCCUCUCUCUAAGGAAUUCCGGUGUCCUGGUGGGAGGCGCAUAGGUAAUCCUGGGGGCCCUGGGCCCCUGGUUUGGGGAGAAGUGCCCCAGGCCUGGUGGGCACCACACUCAGUUUUAAAAGCACCCUCCUGAGGCAGCAGGAGGAGAAGGAAGGGAGGGCCCACCUUCGGGGUGCUUUCGGGGCUGCAGCUGAGACUCCCGGUAACCAAGGAAACGGUGUGGAAAAGUCCUCUCCCCAGCCACUAACCUUCUGAGUUAAACGUCAGCCCAGAACCAGGAUUAGCAUGCACACAAAGCGAACAGGUAACCAGGGAACUCCGCUUACACACAGGAAGUCCCCACCAAGUGCCCAGUGGUCUUCUGUAACCCUUGGCAACCCCAACCUUAAUUACCACGGCACUGACCGUGCAGAUCUGACUCCCCUGUGGGCUUCGGGCCACAUGACGGCUCCUCAAAGGGCCAUAAAAGGUCAGAAACUCCACUGUCAAGCUGCUCACUGGCAGGAUGGAGAGCUCAGACCAAACCCUCCAUUCCACCUGAGCCUGAGGUUUAGAACUCAGUGCCGAGGCCCCGGGGGCCAUGAGCUGUCACUGGCCCCGGCCUACCCCGUAGUGUUAUCUUGUCCUCUCCCUUUCGAACACGUCACUGGUCCUGCUGCUCCUUCUGUGUCCUGCUCAGCUCUGUGUUCAGGACCUUGAGAACGCGGAGGAGCGCUCAGGCUGCUACGAUGCUCUGGACAGGCCCUCCACAGCCCACCCUGCCGCAGCCGCGGUACCCUGGGCUGGGCGCACCCUCUCCUCGGGGAAAUAGGAAGGGGACAGAGCUCUGAGCCUGCACAGUUUAACCUGGGGAGCCCUGGGCACCCCAAUGCCCGCACUAACAGGGAUGAGAGGAGGACCCUAAAGAUGCUCUGACAGCGUCACUCAGGAGAGGGGACCUGCCCUCGGAGGCGUCAGGGGAAUCGAGGGUGCAGCCUGUAGCCUGAGCCCCCUCCCCAGGAGGACCGGCAGCACACCACUCUGACAUCAGCCUUUGUCCUCGGCCCAGGCCACCCCUCCCAGCCCCCUAAACCAGGCCAGUGGCCAUGACUUGAACCCUGUCUUAGGGCAGCGGCUAGCAGUGGCAGGAUCACAAUAGUGUCAUGAGCUGCCCCCAGCCACCAGGCUCUGCUGCAGACGGCCUAGGAAACCACAGCUAAGCCACCUGCGCCCAUACCCACGAAGCCCUGCCCCAACCCCAGGAAGCCUGUCAUCUGCUGGGAGCUUGGGCCAGUUCUGCCCUCAGAAGAGGGUGCUUGGCUCUGUGCUUCUGCUGAGACCUCAUGUUGUGGGGCCUACAAGCCACUUUCUUACUCUAAUAGAAGGGCCAAAAGCUGGGCAUGGUGGCACAAGCUUGUAUAUAAUCCCAGCACUA